AGACGAUGUCGCUGACAAUCCUUUUGUCACCAACUGAUAAAAAAAUCCUUAAAAAUAAAGUUUAUUAAUUUAUUAAUUAACGUCUGCAUCCUGGAGCCGUGAAACCAAACUUAGCAGGUAGGACUAUGGGGACAAACCAACAGUAGGUCUGUGUGGCGCAGCUCAAUGCCGGUGAGCUCAUACUGCAGCAACAAAGGGAAGGGGCGGGCGAGAGAGGGUCGUAGAAAGUGAAUGGAGAGAGAGGAGAGAAAAAGUAGGAGGACGAGAACGGUAGACGGGAAUGGGGAGUGAAAAGAACCGAGCGAAGCUUUGAGGUGGGAGGGAAACACUGAAAGGACGGAAGACAAAUAAAAGGGAUGUGAUCACAGAAAAGAAAGUGUGAGGCAGGAGAGAGGAGGAGGAAAAUGGAGGCAGGAGAAGGACACAAGCGAGAGAAUGAAAAAAGGAGACAUCAAAGUGAAAGGAGUACCGUAAUAUUGAGAAAAGGUAAGAAGGAUGUAGGAAAGUAAAGAAAGGGAGGGUAAGAAACAUUGAGGGGGAACCAGAAUGGAAUGAAGAUCACAUGGCCAAUGUGGUGCCAAUUUGAGUUGCUCGCCCUCCUUCGUUUGAUCCCUCUCUGUCCGUCUCCACGGCGAUUAACGGCCGGGAGAGUUGUCACGGGAACGGCCGAGAGGAGGAAUAACGAGGAGGAGGGACGUCGUCUGGACCAAGUAGAGCAGAGAAAGAGAGAAAGAGAGAGAGAGAGAGAGAGAGAGGGGAAGACCCCAAACCACAGCAGCACAUAAUUAAAAUGGCUCCUCGCACACACAUUUCAACAAAUCCAAUAAUGAACAGCCUCUCCCUUCCUCCACAGAGACCCACGGUUCACCAGUUCCCUCAAACCACUCACUAUGUGACGCUGUCUGUCAUUAAGAGUCUGCAACAAGUGGCUGCAUAGCGGGGCGCGGCCACUACGGACUCCAGCGAGGCCUCCACGGGUCACGUGCUUCACGGGCCAACACCCGGUACUUUGACCGGAUAAUGGUUACUCUCACCUGCCAGGAUGGCUUUGUGCGCCUGCAGCUUCUGUCCAGCGACACACAGCGAGCAGCCGGUGAGUCUGGAGUUUUCCCACAGAUCUUCUCUCCUCCUCGGCCGGCCCGCCGCUCAGGAACCUUCACCGGGUCCGUUGGGUUCUGGCCUGAGAGGUUCACGGAGUCCUGAGAACAUACACACUUAUUGUCUCAGCCAGGAGGAUUGUGCGCUGCUCCUCUAUGAGUCCAUGAGUGAGCGUGCCCUUCCGUGCUUACCCAGCGUUCUGCUGCAUCAUUUUUUGGGAUGCUGCACGUCCAUGUUGGCAUUAACUCCCGCUUUCUAAAAACACCUUUUAUUGCCUGCAUCGUACUGUCAAUAGCUGCCUGCGG
ensembl:lncRNA